UACGUAGGGUGCGAGCGUUGUCCGGAUUUACUGGGCGUAAAGAGCGCGCAGGCGGUCGUUCAAGUCGAGUGUGAAAGCCCCCGGCUCAACUGGGGAGGGUCAUCGAUACUGAUCGACUCGAAGGCAGGAGAGGGUAGUGGAAUUCCCGGUGUAGUGGUGAAAUGCGUAGAUAUCGGGAGGAACACCAGUGGCGAAGGCGACUACCUGGCCUGUUCUUGACGCUGAGGCGCGAAAGCUAGGGGAGCAAACAGGG
rnacentral:rRNA from 1 species